rnacentral:rRNA from 1 species
GAUGAACGCUGGCGGCGUGCAUAACACAUUCAAGUCGAACGGUGAUGAGGACUUCGGUCCUCUGAUCAGUGGCGGACGGGUGAGUAACGCGUGAGCAACCUGCCCUAUAUUGCGGGAUAACAACCGGAAACAGUUGCUAAUACCGCAUGACGUAUUCGGAUCGCAUGUUCUGAAUACGUCAUGCGGUAUUAGCAAGAGAUGAGCUUGCGUCUGAUUAGCUAGUUGGUGAGGUAACGGCUCACCAAGGCGACGAUCGGUAGCCGGACUGAGAGGUUGAACGGCCACAUUGGAACUGAGAUACGGUCCAGACUCCUACGGGAGGCAGCAGUGGGGAAUAUUGGGCAAUGGGCGAAAGCCUGACCCAGCGACGCCGCGUGAGGGAAGAAGAUCUUCGGAUUGUAAACCUUAGUCAACAGGGAAGAAGAAAGUGACGGUACCUGUGGAGGAAGCCAACGGCUAAACUACGUAGCCAGCAGCCGCGGU